GAUGAACGCUGGCGGCGUGCCUAAUACAUGCAAGUCGGGCGAACAGACGAGGAGCUUGCUCCUCUGACGUUAGCGGCGGACGGGUGAGUAACACGUGGAUAACCUACCUAUAAGACUGGGAUAACUUCGGGAAACCGGAGCUAAUACCGGAUAAUAUAUUGAACCGCAUGGUUCAAUAGUGAAAGACGGUUUUGCUGUCACUUAUAGAUGGAUCCGCGCCGCAUUAGCUAGUUGGUAAGGUAACGGCUUACCAAGGCGACGAUGCGUAGCCGACCUGAGAGGGUGAUCGGCCACACUGGAACUGAGACACGGUCCAGACUCCUACGGGAGGCAGCAGUAGGGAAUCUUCCGCAAUGGGCGAAAGCCUGACGGAGCAACGCCGCGUGAGUGAUGAAGGUCUUCGGAUCGUAAAACUCUGCUAUUAGGGAAGAACAAAUGUGUAAGUAACUAUGCACGUCUUGACGGUACCUAAUCAGAAAGCCACGGCUAACUACGUG
rnacentral:rRNA from 1 species